AACGCGUUGGCCCAAUUGAUUGAUGGUGCUUGCACCUGAUUGAUUUUGGUCGCCAACGAGUGGCGGACGGGUGAGUAACACGUAGGUAACCUGCCCAGAAGCGGGGGACAACAUUUGGAAACAGAUGCUAAUACCGCAUAACAGCGUUGUUCGCAUGAACAACGCUUAAAAGAUGGCUUCUCGCUAUCACUUCUGGAUGGACCUGCGGUGCAUUAGCUUGUUGGUGGGGUAACGGCCUACCAAGGCGAUGAUGCAUAGCCGAGUUGAGAGACUGAUCGGCCACAAUGGGACUGAGACACGGCCCAUACUCCUACGGGAGGCAGCAGUAGGGAAUCUUCCACAAUGGGCGCAAGCCUGAUGGAGCAACACCGCGUGAGUGAAGAAGGGUUUCGGCUCGUAAAGCUCUGUUGUUAAAGAAGAACACGUAUGAGAGUAACUGUUCAUACGUUGACGGUAUUUAACCAGAAAGUCACGGCUAACUACGUGCCAGCAGCCGCGGUAAUACGUAGGUGGCAAGCGUUAUCCGGAUUUAUUGGGCGUAAAGAGAGUGCAGGCGGUUUUCUAAGUCUGAUGUGAAAGCCUUCGGCUUAACCGGAGAAGUGCAUCGGAAACUGGAUAACUUGAGUGCAGAAGAGGGUAGUGGAACUCCAUGUGUAGCGGUGGAAUGCGUAGAUAUAUGGAAGAACACCAGUGGCGAAGGCGGCUACCUGGUCUGCAACUGACGCUGAGACUCGAAAGCAUGGGUAGCGAACAGGAUUAGAUACCCUGGUAGUCCAUGCCGUAAACGAUGAGUGCUAGGUGUUGGAGGGUUUCCGCCCUUCAGUGCCGGAGCUAACGCAUUAAGCACUCCGCCUGGGGAGUACGACCGCAAGGUUGAAACUCAAAGGAAUUGACGGGGGCCCGCACAAGCGGUGGAGCAUGUGGUUUAAUUCGAAGCUACGCGAAGAACCUUACCAGGUCUUGACAUCUUGCGCCAACCCUAGAGAUAGGGCGUUUCCUUCGGGAACGCAAUGACAGGUGGUGCAUGGUCGUCGUCAGCUCGUGUCGUGAGAUGUUGGGUUAAGUCCCGCAACGAGCGCAACCCUUGUUACUAGUUGCCAGCAUUAAGUUGGGCACUCUAGUGAGACUGCCGGUGACAAACCGGAGGAAGGUGGGGACGACGUCAGAUCAUCAUGCCCCUUAUGACCUGGGCUACACACGUGCUACAAUGGACGGUACAACGAGUCGCGAACUCGCGAGGGCAAGCAAAUCUCUUAAAACCGUUCUCAGUUCGGACUGCAGGCUGCAACUCGCCUGCACGAAGUCGGAAUCGCUAGUAAUCGCGGAUCAGCAUGCCGCGGUGAAUACGUUCCCGGGCCUUGUACACACCGCCCGUCACACCAUGAGAGUUUGUAACACCCAAAGUCGGUGGGGUAACCUUUUAGGAGCCAGCCGCCUA
rnacentral:rRNA from 1 species